rnacentral:misc_RNA from 1 species
GAUAAAGGCUUAGUUGAAUUAAGUAUUCUUUUCCAAUUGUAAUUUAUGUUAAGAGAAAAGUUAUCUUAGGGCUGGUGCUCACAUGACCAUCCAAUGCAUGUUCAGUAAGGUUUAUUUUAAAAAUUCGUUGAGAAUCUUAUGAUUCAAUUGAAUUGUAAAGUUAAGAUUUCAAUUCUGAUUAUAUGGCAACUUUUUUGUUGCAGGGUCGAGUUAAUUU